ACGCGAAGAACCUUACCUGGACUCGAAAUUUUGUUGACAGUCUCAGAGAUGAGAUCUUCCCGCAAGGGACAGCAGAAUAGGUGCUGCAUGGCUGUCGUCAGCUCGUGUCGUGAGAUGUUGGGUUAAGUCCCGCAACGAGCGCAACCCUUACCCUUAGUUGCUAAUCCGCAAGGAAAGCACCCUAAGGGAACUGCCUCGGAUAACGAGGAGGAAGGUGGGGAUGACGUCAAGUCCUCAUGGCCUUUAUGCCCAGGGCUACACACGUGCUACAAUGGCCGGUACAAAACGUCGCAAACCCGCGAGGGGGAGCCAAUCGUCAAAAACCGGUCUCAGUUCGGAUUGCAGGCUGCAACUCGCCUGCAUGAAGCUGGAAUCGCUAGUAAUCGCGUAUCAGAACGACGCGGUGAAUACGUUCCCGGGCCUUGUA
rnacentral:rRNA from 1 species